GACUACUGGGGUAUCUAAUCCUGUUUGAUCCCCACGCUUUCGCGCCUCAGCGUCAGUUGUCGUCCAGAUAGCCGCCUUCGCCACCGGUGUUCCUGCUAAUAUCUACGAAUUUCACCUCUACAUUAGCAAUUCCGCUAUCCCCUCCGACACUCUAGCAAUACAGUUUCAAAGGCAGUUCUGGAGUUGAGCUCCAGGCUUUCACCUCUGACUUGUAUCGCCGCCUACGCGCGCUUUACGCCCAGUGAUUCCGAACAACGCUAGCACCCUUCGUAUUACCGCGGCUGCUGGCACGAAGUUAGCCGGUGCUUAUUCUUCAGGUACCGUCAUUAUCUUCCCUGACAAAAGAACUUUACAACCCUAAGGCCUUCAUCCUUCACGCGGCAUGGCUGGAUCAGGCUUUCGCCCAUUGUCCAAUAUUCCCCACUGCAGCCCCCCGUAGG
rnacentral:rRNA from 1 species